UGCAAGUCGAACGAUGAAGCCCUUCGGGGUGGAUUAGUGGCGAACGGGUGAGUAACACGUGGGCAAUCUGCCCUUCACUCUGGGACAAGCCCUGGAAACGGGGUCUAAUACCGGAUAACACUCUGUCCCGCAUGGGACGGGGUUAAAAGCUCCGGCGGUGAAGGAUGAGCCCGCGGCCUAUCAGCUUGUUGGUGAG
rnacentral:rRNA from 1 species